rnacentral:rRNA from 1 species
UUGAUCAUGGCUCAGGACGAACGCUGGCGGCGUGCUUAACACAUGCAAGUCGAACGAAGAGCGAUGGAAGCUUGCUUCUAUCAAUCUUAGUGGCGAACGGGUGAGUAACGCGUAAUCAACCUGCCCUUCAGAGGGGGACAACAGUUGGAAACGACUGCUAAUACCGCAUACGAUCUAAUCUCGGCAUCGAGGAUAGAUGAAAGGUGGCCUCUACAUGUAAGCUAUCACUGAAGGAGGGGAUUGCGUCUGAUUAGCUAGUUGGAGGGGUAACGGCCCACCAAGGCGAUGAUCAGUAGCCGGUCUGAGAGGAUGAACGGCCACAUUGGGACUGAGACACGGCCCAGACUCCUACGGGAGGCAGCAGUGGGGAAUCUUCCGCAAUGGACGAAAGUCUGACGGAGCAACGCCGCGUGAGUGAUGACGGCCUUCGGGUUGUAAAGCUCUGUUAAUCGGGACGAAAGGCCUUCUUGCGAAUAGUGAGAAGGAUUGACGGUACCGGAAUAGAAAGCCACGGCUAACUACGUGCCAGCAGCCGCGGUAAUACGUAGGUGGGCA